rnacentral:rRNA from 1 species
AGCCUGAUGCAGCACGCCGCGUGGAGUGAUGAAGGCCUUCGGGUCGUAAAGCUCUUUGAUCAGGGAUGAUAAUGACAGUACCUGAAAAACAAGCCACGGCUAACUACG